GAUGAACGCUGGCGGCAUGCCUAACACAUGCAAGUCGAGCGAACACACGAGAAGCUUGCGCCCCUGACGUUAGCGGCUGACGGGCGGGUAACACGUGCAUAGCCUACUUAUAUUACUGGGGUAAUUUCGGGAAACCGCAUCUACUACCACAUAAUAUGUCCUACGGCAUGGUUCAAUAGUGCAAGACGGUUUUCCCGUCUCUUUUAGCUGGAUCCGCGCCGCAUUAGCUAGUUGGUAAGGUAACGGCUUACCAAGGCAACGAUGCGUGGCCGACCUGAGAGGGUGAUCGGCCACACUGGAACUGAGACACGGUCCAGACUCCUACGGGAGGCAGCAGUAGGGAAUAUUGGACAAUGGGCGAAAGCCUGACGGAGCAACACCGCGUGAGUGAAGAAGGUCUUCGGAUCGUAAAGCCCUGUUGUUGGGAAAGAAAAGCUGUGUGAGAAAAUAUGGCCGUUUUGACGGUACCAAAUGAGAAAGCAACGGCUAACUACGUG
rnacentral:rRNA from 1 species